rnacentral:rRNA from 1 species
UACGUAGGGUGCGAGCGUUGCCCGGAUUUAUUGGGCGUAAAGGGCGCGCAGGCGGCCACGCACGUCCGUUGUGAAAUCGCUCGGCUCAACUGGGCGGGGUCAGCGGAUACGGCGUGGCUGGAGCAAGCUAGGGGGCAAUGGAAUUCCCGGUGUAGUGGUGGAAUGCGUAGAUAUCGGGAGGAACACCAGUGGCGAAGGCGGUUGCCUGGAGCUUUGCUGACGCUGAGGCGCGAAAGCCAGGGGAGCGAACGGG